UUGGACUGUUACAGAGAGCUGGAAACAAGCAUUCCCAGCAUGAGGGCUGGCACAGAAUUCUCCCUGGAAGGUCCCUUAACCUUUGGAAAAAUUCUAGAGAAUCACAAUUUCUUCCACCACAUAACAGGUAGGAGGGAGGAACAGCCUUGGAACCAGGCAGGGAGAGCACAGGAAUGUUCUGAACCUUCUCUGAAGGCUGGCACCUUUGGCAUCCCUUCUGAAUCUCCUCGAGGGAUAGCUGUGUUUGAAGCACAGACCCACUUCCAGUGCAGCAACUGACUCCAUUCUCAGCUGUGUCUGGCCAGGCCACAGCUCUUCAUUCCUCCCUUCACCUUCCUAGCCCAGAAUAGAAAAAUGCCCCCUGCAUUCCUAAGUGGCAGACAGGUGAUUCCUGCAGGUGCAGGACAGGUGGAUCGAUGCCUGGAGCAGGCCUGGCUGGGGAACAGUGGAGCUGCUGGGACUGCAUCCAGCCUCCCUGCUGACUGCUGAGGGGCAUCUGAUGGAAAACACAUCCCCAUGGCCACAGCUGACACUGCCCCUGCUCAUCACUGACUAAAUAUGCAGGAGAAUCAGCAGGUAAUGUGAGGAGACUCUCUGAAGCAGAGAUUCUGACACCAGAAGUGAUGGCCAGCCUCCAGUUCA